GCGAAAACUUUACAAUGCUGGCAACAGCGAUAAGGGAACCUCGAGUGCCAGGUUACAAAUCUGGCUGUCGUGAUGCCUAAAAAGCAUUGCAUAGCAAGGGCCGGGCAAGACCGGUGCCAGCCGCCGCGGUAACACCGGCGGCUCGAGUGGUAACCGUUAUUAUUGGGUCUAAAGGGUCUGUAGCCGGCCGGAUAAGUCUCUUGAGAAAUCCAGCAGCUCAACUGUUGGGCUUUCAGGAGAUACUGUCUGGCUCGAGGCCGGGAGAGGUGAGAGGUACUUCAGGGGUAGGGGUGAAAUCUUGUAAUCCUUGAAGGACCACCAGUGGCGAAGGCGUCUCACCAGAACGGACCUGACGGCAAGGGACGAAAGCUAGGGGCACGAACC
rnacentral:rRNA from 1 species